GACGAACGCUGGCGGCGUGCUUAACACAUGCAAGUCGAGCGGUAAGGCCCUUUCGGGGGUACACGAGCGGCGAACGGGUGAGUAACACGUGGGUGACCUGCCCUCAGCUCUGGGAUAAGCCUGGGAAACCGGGUCUAAUACUGGAUAUGACCCCAUGACGCAUGUUGUGGGGUGAAAGCCUUGUGCGGCUGAGGAUGGGCCCGCGGCCUAUCAGCUUGUUGGUGGGGUNAUGGCCUACCAAGGCGACGACGGGUAGCCGGCCUGAGAGGGCGACCGGCCACACUGGGACUGAGACACGGCCCAGACUCCUACGGGAGGCAGCAGUGGGGAAUCUUGCGCAAUGGGCGAAAGCCUGACGCAGCGACGCCGCGUGAGGGAUGAC
rnacentral:rRNA from 1 species